UACGUAGGAUGCUAGCGUUGUCCGGAUUUACUGGGCGUACAGCGCGCGCAGGCGGCACUGUAAGUCAGGUGUGAAAUAUCCCUGCUCAACGGGGAGGGUGCACUUUAGACUGCAGAGCUAGAGGACGGUAGAGGGGGGUGGAAUUGCUGGUGUAGCGGUGAAAUGCGUAGAGAUCAGCAGGAACACCCGUGGCGAAGGCGGCAGCCUGGACCGGCAUUGACGCUGAGGCGCGAAAGCCAGGGGAGCAAACGGG
rnacentral:rRNA from 1 species